AUGAGACAAAAGAUCUUCUUUCUAAAGAGAUUCGAUUCGGAAAUCUUAUAUGUCCAAGGUCAAUAUGGAAAUUCUUUCACAGGUUUUCCCUUACUUUGUCCGUGUCAACAAACAAUUCGAAAUACCUCAACUUUUUCAGAACAGGUCGAGUCAAAUAGCAAUGAUUAG
rnacentral:rRNA from 1 species